rnacentral:rRNA from 1 species
AUUGAACGCUGGCGGCAGGCCUAACACAUGCAAGUCGAACGGGUGGGGGACGGGUGAGCAAGGUCUGUGAAACUUCCUGAUGGAGGGGGACAACUACCGGAAACGGUAGCUAAUACCGCAUACCAUCAGAUGUGCCCAAAUGGGAUUAGCUAGUUGGUGGGGUAACGGCUCACCAAGGCAACGAUCCCUAGCUGGUCUGAGAGGGUGACCGGCCACACUGGAACUGAGACACGGUCCAGACUCCUACGGGAGGCAGCAUGGGGGAAUCUUGCGCAAUGGGCGAAAGCCUGAUGGAGCCAUGCCGCGUGUAUGAUGAAGGUCUUCGGGUUGUAAAGUACUGUCAUUGGGGAGGCGUUACCUGCAGAGGAAGCCCCGGCUAACUCCGUGCCAGCAGCCGCGGUAAUUC